GACGAACGCUGGCGGCGUGCUUAACACAUGCAAGUCGAACGGAAAGGCCCUGCUUUUGUGGGGUGCUCGAGUGACGAACGGGUGAGUAACACGUGAGUAACCUGCCCUUGACUUUGGGAUAACUUCAGGAAACUGGGGCUAAUACCGGAUAGGAGCUCCUGCUGCAUGGUGGGGGUGGGAAAGUUUCGGCGGUUGGGGAUGGACGCGCGGCUUAUCAGCUUGUUGGUGGGGUAGUGGCUUACCAAGGCUUUGGAGGGUAGCCGGCCUGAGAGGGUGACCGGCCCCAUUGGGCCUGCGAUACGGCCCAGACUCCUACGGGAGGCAGCAGUGGGGAAUAUUGCACAAUGGGCGGAAGCCUGAUGCAGCAACGCCGCGUGCGGGAUGACGGCCUUCGGGUUGUAAACCGCUUUCGCCUGUGACGAAGCGUGAGUGACGGUAAUGGGUAAAGAAGCACCGGCUAACUACGUG
rnacentral:rRNA from 1 species